UCCGCUCUAAGAAAGAUACGCAGAUAUGCAGUCCGGAAGGGGAGUAAUUCGCGCGACGGUCUAAAACGCUGCCCCAAAUCUGCGUUAGAUGAGUCUCCAUCGGGUGAGCUCCCAGAGCAGGGCUCCGUAAGACGAGUUCCCUGGUUUCCCUAGAGGUCUUCAGACGCUUCUCCAACUUUUGAAAAGAGAGGAAAACUAUUGAUGCUGUUGCCUAACGCCAACGAUCAGCACUCACUCCACUCAGCGUCUAAACGCGUCUACUCGAAUCAGCCGAUCAGGCUCCAACUUUAGAAUUUCCAACCCUAUUAGCCUCAUUUUGCAAGAUGGCGGCGUUUCGUACCCGAUUACUACGGGUUCAUCGCACCGAACCGAACCGCUUGAAAAGUACCUACCCGUGUCGCAACCGAUCGGCCAUUUUUCAGGGCUGCAAACAAUGGCGAAUCGACCAGCCAAAAUGUAAACAAUCUACGUCCAACGAGACGCAAACGUAACUGCUCCAAAGAACAAAUUCCGCUUUUAAUAUAUAAUGUGGAACUGUCUAGCAGAAGUGGAAAGUUAAAGACUUUCAGAAAUUCUUGGACCAUUUUUAUUUUUUUUUAUUAAACAAGCAUUUUUAAAUUAAAAUCAAAAAAAUGAACUUUGCAUUAAAAUUAAUUCUACGCACGAUAAAAAUUUUUCUAAAUGAAAAAAAAAAAUCAAACACCUUAAUGUAACAGUUCAAAAGGGGUAGUCCCAUAAGAGCCUACGUUAAAGUAGGCCCUCUAGUUACACACCCGGCCAGAGUUGCCAAAACAGACGAUUCCAAUUUUUGUCCCACUUUCGCCCU